UUUUGGACAAUGGGCGCAAGCCUGAUCCAGCAAUGCCGCGUGCAGGAAGAAGGCCUUCGGGUUGUAAACUGCUUUUGUACGGAACGAAACGGUCCUGGUUAAUACCUGGGGCUAAUGACGGUACCGUAAGAAUAAGCACCGGCUAACUACGUGCCAGCAGCCGCGGUAAUACGUAGGGUGCAAGCGUUAAUCGGAAUUACUGGGCGUAAAGCGUGCGCAGGCGGUUUUGUAAGACAGGCGUGAAAUCCCCGGGCUUAACCUGGGAAUGGCGCUUGUGACUGCAAAGCUGGAGUGCGGCAGAGGGGGAUGGAAUUCCGCGUGUAGCAGUGAAAUGCGUAGAUAUGCGGAGGAACACCGAUGGCGAAGGCAAUCCCCUGGGCCUGCACUGACGCUCAUGCACGAGG
rnacentral:rRNA from 1 species